UACGUAGGUUGCAAGCGUUAAUCGGAAUUACUGGGCGUAAAGCGUGCGCAGGCGGUUUUGUAAGACUGUCGUGAAAUCCCCGGGCUCAACCUGGGAAUGGCGAUGGUGACUGCAAGGCUAGAGUUUGGCAGAGGGGGGUAGAAUUCCACGUGUAGCAGUGAAAUGCGUAGAUAUGUGGAGGAACACCGAUGGCGAAGGCAGCCCCCUGGGUCAAAACUGACGCUCAUGCACGAAAGCGUGGGGAGCAAACAGG
rnacentral:rRNA from 1 species